rnacentral:rRNA from 1 species
UACGGGAGGCAGCAGUGGGGAAUAUUGCACAAUGGGCGCAAGCCUGAUGCAGCCAUGCCGCGUGUAUGAAGAAGGCCUUCGGGUUGUAAAGUACUUUCAGUCGUGAGGAGGGUGUUAAGGUUAAUAACCUUAGCAAUUGACGUUAGCGACAGAAGAAGCACCGGCUAACUCCGUGCCAGCAGCCGCGGUAAUACGGAGGGUGCGAGCGUUAAUCGGAAUUACUGGGCGUAAAGGGCACGCAGGCGGUUAAUUAAGUUGGAUGUGAAAUCCCCGGGCUUAACCUGGGAAUGGCAUUCAAGACUGGUUAGCUAGAGUCUUGUAGAGGGGGUAGAAUUCCAUGUGUAGCGGUGAAAUGCGUAGAGAUGUGGAGGAAUACCGGUGGCGAAGGCGGCCCCUGGGACAAAGACUGACGCUCAUGUGCGAAAGCGUGGGGAGCAAACAGGAUUAGAUACC